rnacentral:tRNA from 1 species
UUCACCUGGAGAAGGAAGUGUUCGCUGGGCUUCCAGUCCAGCCCGACGCCGCCGAGGUAGUAUCCUGCGUCCGGACCGUGGAAGUCGAA